CUAAAGCCAACCGCACCCACGAUCCUUCUGCGCCGCCGUCCACGCUCCACCCACCUCCCUCCUCCUCUCUCUCCUUGCGCGAUGCAGACCACGCCGCCACGAUCCAGAUCAAGCCGCCGCUCCGUCGACGGAUCCCUUCUCCCUCGGCGCCGUGCUGCUGGGAGGGCGCUGCACGCCGGCCGCCAGGGCACGAACGCCAUGGAAGGCCUUCGUCACCCACGCCGCCACCGACGGAUUGCGGCGGCCGAGGUGCGUUCGUCCUUUCCGGGAAGGGGAAAAUCAUGGGCUGCCCUUUCCGGGAAGAGCUCUGCCGCAUACGCCGCCGUGGAAAAAGGAGGGGAAGGAGUUCCGGCAGCUGCCAAUGAAGAAAACGGCGCGAGUCCCUACGCCCCCACUGCGACAGGCUUGUACAUCCCGUCCCGCCCCGAUCCGACCCGCUGCAACAUCGACCUUCGCUUUACUCCGACGAAUCCCUGCGACAUCUCUUCUCCGUGGCCGCCUCCAGCAGCGACACAGCGGGAUUGGUCAGUCUGCUCGCAGUUGCCAUCAAACUCUAGGACGCUCUCUGCCUUUCCUAUUGGGGUGAGUGAAAUUUGAGAGGGUUCGAUUUAUAUUGUGUCUAUUGCCAAUACAGUAACCUCAAAUCCUCAAUGUCUGCUCUGCUAUUGUUAUCCGAUUGAAAAAAAAAGGAUGUCAAUCGUUCUUGGGCUCGUGGCUAUAAGCGGGGGCAGAUGGAGUGGCCAGGUAUGCUUUCUCUCUCGAACUGCUUUGGUUACGUAUUGUUUAUUGAUUGAUCAAUUGAUGUUUGUAGGGUGUCCUGUUGCUGAUUGAUGUCAUGGCCAAUCUUGCAAUGUGCGCUCCUUUUGUCUUCAGGUUGCAUCUGCGUCCAUCUCCACUUGGAAGACGUCUGUGGGCUGAUAUUUCUUACACUAAUUUUUUCUUCUACUAGUGAUGUGUUCUUCUUCCGUCUAAGAGUGAUGUGUUCAGCUGGCAAUAACUGCAAAAUCGCACGUUGCCUUGAUUAUGAAUAUCUGCAUAAUUUUUUAUCAUCGUGACUUAAUUCGGAUUAAUCUAAUUUGAGAGUUUCAUAUUGGUCACAAGGUGUCUCCCUCUCACACCAGAUUAUUCCCUACGGUGGAGAAAUUAACCAUCUUGCAAGAAGAACGAGGAUAUGGACAAGCUAAAGCACAUGGAAGAUGGCUAGGCCAUGGAUCUGAUCUGGGAAGAAACAAAAUACGAAACGUAUUUUCAUGUUGUAUACUUUGGAACACCAUCUACCAUCUGUUCAAUGCUGAAACCCAGCGAUGGAGUUUGUCAGUAUUCUUUGACAUCAACUACGAACUGCAUGUGCAGGUUUUGAACUGCCAUGAUUCUGCUAUCUACAUAUAUAUUAGCACCGGUAAAUUAUGCUACCAAGUAUAAAUGUUCUGAUACUAUUAUUCUUGGUGAUGUUGGUAAGUGUGCAUCAGAUUUGGUUAUUCCUAACAUGCUGUGUUAUGUCGAUCCAAUUUUCUUUGAUAUAGUUUGCUUCUUGGCAAAAUAGCAGAAUUACUUGCCGUUGAAAUAUAUUUUGUUUGCAGGGUGUAGUGCUAUUUAGCAUAAGUUCUGAAGUUUCCUUUGUUUAGUUCCAAAAGAAAAUAGUACUGUGAAAAUAAAACAUGUUGAACAAGUUAGGUGUAUAUUUACCAAAAUUUAUAUUUUCUCAUGGACAGUUUCCCAAGAGACAAUGGAGAAAAGGAUUAUAAAUACUUGCAAUAGACGUGGAUAAUAUGUCAGUAUUCUCUAACAUCAACUACAAACUGCUUGUGCAGGUUUUCAACUGCCAUGAUUCUGCUAUCAACAUAUAUAUUAUCACCAGUAAAUUAUGCUACCAAGUAUAAAUGUUCUGAUACUACUAUUCUUGGUGCUGUUGGUAAGUAUGCAUCAGAUUUGGUUAUUCCUCACACGCUGUGUUAUGUCAAUCCAAUUUUCUUCGAUAUAGUUUGUUCCUUGGCAAAAUAGCAGAAUUACUUGCCAUUGAAAUAUAUUUUGUUCGCAGGGUGUAGUGCUAUUUAGCAUAAGUUCUGAAGUUUUCUUUGUUCAGUUCCAAAAGAAAAUAGUGUUCAGUUUAUUCUUGUCAACAUAGCAAAUGCCAGCAAGACUCAUUAUUUUCUUUCUUUCUGGAAAUAAAAGAAGAGAGAUAUAAUCUGUUUAUUCUUGUGCAUUAUCUAAUCUGGUAAUGAAUACGUGUGCAGAUACUAGCUGAAUGUAAGGUUGCUGUCAAGAGGAAUUUGUUGAGAGGAUCAUGGCUGCAUGCAAGCAAGCUGAUAUUUUGUUGUUAGAUGCUUAGAUGCUUGAAAUACUAGUAUGAUGUCAAGCGUUCAUAAGUUUUGGGGACCUGAUGUACUCUCAGGCUGUAACUCUAUGUGUUUGUAAAUUUUUUUUGUGAAUAUCUGUCGGUUAUAUGUUGCAUAUUUGACUUCAUAUAUUUCUAGAUUUUCAUUGCGUCAAAACAUCUAGUUGGUUGAAAACAAAUCCAAAAAUACCAAAAUAACGUCAUGAAUAAAAUGCAAUAAAAU